rnacentral:rRNA from 1 species
GUCUACGGCCAUGCUACCCUCAACAAGCCCGAUCCCAUCUGAUCUUGGAAGCUAAGCAGGGUCAGGCCUGAUUAGUACUUGGAUGGGAAACCACCCAGGAAGACCAGAUGCUGUAGGCG